rnacentral:rRNA from 1 species
UACGUAGGGUGCAAGCGUUAAUCGGAAUUACUGGGCGUAAAGCGUGCGCAGGCGGUUUUCCAAGACAGAUGUGAAAUCCCCGGGCUCAACCUGGGAAUGGCAUUUGUGACUGGAAGGCUAGAGUGUGUCAGAGGGGGGUAGAAUUCCACGUGUAGCAGUGAAAUGCGUAGAGAUCGGGAGGAACACCAGUGGCGAAGGCGGCUACCUGGACCAGCAUUGACACUCAAGCACGAAAGCGUGGGGAGCAAACAGG